UACGAAGGUGGCAAGCGUUACUCGGAAUUACUAGGCGUAAAGGGCAGGUAGGUGGUUCGGUAAGUCUGUUGUGAAAUCUCCCGGCUUAACUGGGAGAGGUCAACAGAUACUGCCGGACUUGAGUAUAGGAGAGGGUACUGGAAUUCCCGGUGUAGCGGUGAAAUGCGCAGAUAUCGGGAGGAACACCAAUGGCGAAAGCAGGUACCUGGACUAUUACUGACACUCAACUGCGAAAGCUAGGGGAGCAAACAGG
rnacentral:rRNA from 1 species